ACUACGGGUGGCAGCAGUGGGGAAUAUUGGGCAAUGGGCGCAAGCCUGACCCAGCAACGCCGCGUGAAGGAAGAAGGCUUUCGGGUUGUAAACUUCUUUUCUCAGGGACGAAGAAAGUGACGGUACCUGAGGAAUAAGCCACGGCUAACUACGUGCCAGCAGCCGCGGUAAUACGUAGGUGGCAAGCGUUAUCCGGAUUUAUUGGGUGUAAAGGGCGUGUAGGCGGGAGCGCAAGUCAGAUGUGAAAACUCAGGGCUCAACCCUGAGCCUGCAUUUGAAACUGUGUUUCUUGAGUGCUGGAGAGGCAAUCGGAAUUCGGGGUGUAGUGGUGAAAUGAGUAGAUAUACGGAGGAACACCAGUGGCGAAGGCGGAUUGCUGGACAGUAACUGACGCUGAGGCGCGAAAGCGUGGGGAGCAAACAGGAUUAGAUACCCUAGUAGUC
rnacentral:rRNA from 1 species